rnacentral:rRNA from 1 species
GACAGAGGAUGCAAGCGUUAUCCGGAAUGAUUGGGCGUAAAGCGUCUGUAGGUGGCUUCUUAAGUCCGCUGUCAAAUCCCAGGGCUUAACCCUGGCCAGGCGGUGGAGACUACUAAGCUGGAGUACGGUAGGGGCAGAGGGAAUUUCCGGUGGAGCGGUGAAAUGCGUAGAGAUCGGAAAGAACACCAACGGCGAAAGCACUCUGCUGGGCCGACACUGACACUGAGAGACGAAAGCUAGGGGAGCGAAUGGG